rnacentral:misc_RNA from 1 species
AACGCACAUUGCGCCCCUUGGUAUUCCGAGGGGCAUGCCUGUUCGAGCGUCAUUAUAACCACUCAAGCCUCGGCUUGGUAUUGGGGUUCGCGGUCUCGCGGCCCUUAAAACUAGUGGCGGUGCCAUCUGGCUCUAAGCGUAGUAAUUCUCUCGCUACAGGGUCUAGGUGGUUACUUGCCAAAACCCCCUAUUUUCUAUGGUUGACCUCGGAUCAGGUAGGGAUACCCGCUGAACUUAA